GCCAGGCGUGGUGGCCUGCGCCUCUAGUCCCAGCUACUCGGGAGGCUGAGGUGGGAGGAUUGCUUGAGUCCAGGAGUUCUGGGCUGCCGUGGGCUACGCCGACUGGGUGUCUGCACUAAAUUCGGCAUCAGGAUGGCGACUUCCCAAGAGUAGGGGACCACCAGGUUGCCUAAGGAGGGGUGGACCGGCCCAGGUCGGAAAAGGAGCAGGUCAAAACAUGAAUGGCAACCAGCAAUCCUUGGUGAACAGGCUGAAGUGAAAAGUGAGAACUACGCCCCA
rnacentral:SRP_RNA from 1 species